rnacentral:rRNA from 1 species
GAUGAACGCUGGCGGCGUGCCUAAUACAUGCAAGUCGAGCGAACAGACGAGGAGCUUGCUCCUCUGACGUUAGCGGCGGACGGGUGAGUAACACGUGGAUAACCUACCUAUAAGACUGGGAUAACUUCGGGAAACCGGAGCUAAUACCGGAUAAUAUAUUGAACCUCAUGGUUCAAUAGUGAGAGACGGUUUUUCUGUCACUUAUAGAUUGAUCCGCGCCGCAUUAGCUAGUUGGUAAGGUAACGGCUUACCAAGGCAACGAUGCGUAGCCGACCUGAGAGGGAGGUCGGACACCCUGGAACUGAGAAACGGUCCAGACUCCUACGGGAGGAAGCAGUAGGGAAUCUUACGCAAUGGGCGAAAGCCUGACGGAGCAACGCCGCGUGAGUGAUGAAGGUCUUCGGAUCGUAAAACUCUGUUAUUAGGGAAGAACAAAUGUGUAAGUAACUAUGCACGUCUUGACGGUACCUGAUCAGAAAGCCACGGCUAACUACGUG